ensembl:lncRNA
CAUAUUCUGAGUUUUGUAAAUAUUAACCUUUGUGUGUCCUUAUGGAUGUUUUUGUCUUUUUCAUAUUUUUUAUUGUCCUGGAAAUCACGAAUUCCACCCCAUGUAAACGAGUGAAAGAAGGUUCCUGAGCUCUGAAGAUGUUUGCAUUCGAACACGUUUCUUAUCCCUUGUUUGCACUUUUUCAUUUGUUAUUGUUCCUGCACAGAGAUAGAUAGAAGUUGACGCACGUGCUCUCGCAGCCAAACCUAUACAUAUGUGAUGCUUGAGGACCUGGUCAUUUCAUAGCUUGUAAGAUGAAGAGACGUUUCACGGCGGAGGAAGCUCUGGAGACAGUUGUGCUCACUGACAGCGCACACUCUGGUGCAUCUGAAGAGCUGCGUUCCGAGGAUGAAGUCGAGUUUGUGCUGGAGUCUGACCCCUCUGAUAGCACUGAGACUGACGACACACAGCAGACAGCAGAUCUUCAAUGGAAUUUAAAAUAUGGGCAGAUUCUCCGGUCUUCCGCUCACACUGAGACGCUGCACUGCUAUCCUGCCAAGCGUAUGACCCCGGGUCCCACACGCUACACCACUGACCACAUCUCAUCACCGAAGACAUCCUUCAGCUUCUUCUGGACAAUACCCAUUUACAGCGGAGGCGUUCUGUGACAGAUUGGAUUGAUGUCAAUUCCACUGACAUCCAGGCGUACAAUUCAGUUCAGUUUUAUUUGUGUAGCGCGUUUAACAACGGACAGUGUCUCAAAGCAGCUUUACAGAAACAUAUAAACACAGGACGGAGAUUUUAAGCGUGUGAGUUUAUCCCUAUUGAGCGAGCCGGUGGUGAGGGAAAAACUCCCUGAGAUGAUAUGAGGAAGAAACCUUGAGAGGAACCGGACUCAGAAGGGAACCCGUCCUCAUCUGGUAACAUCAGGGUGCUGAUUCUGGCCGGUGUGUACGGGUCCCGAAACGAAUCUUCAAGCAGUCUGUGGGAUGUGGAAAGCAGACCGUGAGCCACCGUAAACUCGAGCUCCUAAGCUCCACCCUGAGGUUCGAUGACACGACCUGCACGUCAGGCUGUCUUAUAUUAUAUCAAAAAAAUUUGACACGGACAUUUUUGUCCUUUAUGGACCUGAGUGGUAGUUUCUGGGGAUUUUUUAAAUCUGAC